rfam:Capsicum annuum cultivar Zunla-1 chromosome 10, whole genome shotgun sequence
AUGACCUUACUUGAACAAGAUCUGUACUAUAGGAUAUUACCAUUGUAUCCUUGAUUUCUAAGGAUACAAAAAACCAAGUCCAUAGAUGAAUGGUGGCCAAGAGGGAAGAGCCUAAUUAACAACUUCCAUGGCUUUUGGUGAUCAUGGUGUUGUUGAUAAUAUUUCUCAGUCUUGUCUGCCUGGGCUAGAGGUUGUCUCAUGAUUGACUAUCGGACU